UGACGUCGGUUCCUCUUCCUGUCAGCAGUGGGCAGGAGGAUUUUACGACGUCACAGAGAGAUUUUGGGUUUUUUCACCCAGGAAGCUUCCGGCUGCAGCCGAAACACUAAACUUCCUGGUUUUGCGGAACCCAACAAAC